GACGGAGGGGGCUAGCGUUGUUCGGAAUUACUGGGCGUAAAGAGUGCGUAGGCGGUUUAGUAAGUUGGAAGUGAAAGCCCGAGGCUUAACCUCGGAACUGCUUUCAAAACUACUAAUCUAGAGUGUAGUAGGGGAUGAUGGAAUUCCUAGUGUAGAGGUGAAAUUCUUAGAUAUUAGGAGGAACACCGGUGGCGAAGGCGGUCAUCUGGGCUACAACUGACGCUGAUGCACGAAAGCGUGGGGAGCAAACAGG
rnacentral:rRNA from 1 species